rnacentral:rRNA from 1 species
CCUACGGGAGGCAGCAGUGAGGAAUAUUGGUCAAUGGACGAGAGUCUGAACCAGCCAAGUAGCGUGAAGGAUGACUGCCCUAUGGGUUGUAAACUUCUUUUAUAAAGGAAUAAAACGAGGCACGUGUGCCUUUUUGCAUGUACUUUAUGAAUAAGGAUCGGCUAACUCCGUGCCAGCAGCCGCGGUAAUACGGAGGAUCCGAGCGUUAUCCGGAUUUAUUGGGUUUAAAGGGAGCGUAGAUGGGUUGUUAAGUCAGUUGUGAAAGUUUGCGGCUCAACCGUAAAAUUGCAAUUGAUACUGGCAGUCUUGAGUACAGUUGAGGUAGGCGGAAUUCGUGGUGUAGCGGUAAAAUGCUUAGAUAUAACGAAGAACCCCGAUUGCGAAGGCAGCUUACUAAACUGCGACUGACAUUGAUGCGCGAAAGUGUGGGGAUCAAACAGGAUUAGAUACCCUGGUAGUC